CGACCAUAUAAAGCAUCGCAGCAGGACAUCAGUCAGUCACUAGACACAGCAGAGACAGUGUUUGCUUUUUUCACCAUUUAGCAUCCAAACCGUGUCAAAAUGUGCAAGCUCACUCUAACUGCAGCUCUCUGUUUGAUCAUCGCCUGCUUGGGUUUACCUGGCAUUGAAGCAACCCCUGUUCUUGGAUACACCAACAAUGCAUUCUCCUGCGUUGGAAAACCCAAUGGGCUAUACCCCAACCCUAGUGACCAACAUUCUUUCUUCUACUGUGUAUCUGGAAAUGUAUACCUCCAACAAUGCGCAGCAAAUUUGAUCUUUGACCCAGCCAUUAAUGUUUGUGUCUAUCCCAACUUUGCAUUCUCCUGCGUUGGAAAACCCGAUGGGCAAUACCCCAACCCUAGUGACCAACAUUCUUUCUUCUACUGUGUAGCUGGAAAAGCAU